AUUGAACGCUGGCGGCAGGCCUAACACAUGCAAGUCGAACGGUAACAGGAAGAAGCUUGCUUCUUUGCUGACGAGUGGCGGACGGGUGAGUAAUGUCUGGGAAACUGCCUGAUGGAGGGGGAUAACUACUGGAAACGGUAGCUAAUACCGCAUAACGUCGCAAGACCAAAAAGGGGGACCUUCGGGCCUCUUGCCAUCGGAUGUGCCCAGAUGGGAUUAGCUAGUAGGUGGGGUAACGGCUCACCUAGGCGACGAUCCCUAGCUGGUCUGAGAGGAUGACCAGCCACACUGGAACUGAGACACGGUCCAGACUCCUACGGGAGGCAGCAGUGGGGAAUAUUGCACAAUGGGCGCAAGCCUGAUGCAGCCAUGCCGCGUGUAUGAAGAAGGCCUUCGGGUUGUAAAGUACUUUCAGCGGGGAGGAAGGGAGUAAAGUUAAUACCUUUGCUCAUUGACGUUACCCGCAGAAG
rnacentral:rRNA from 1 species